CCAAGUGAAUCCCGUUUCAUUACAAAUGUCAAGUUUUCAGUGGAGAAGCCAUGGUGUGAGGGACCCAGGUGAGGCGGCUCCCACAGGGACACUGCACACCAGUCAGUCUUGGCCAGCCCCGACGUGGACCGGAGGUGAGGAACAGUGGGCAGGAACCCUCCGACCACGGGCGCAGAACAAAGCAACAUGAUAAUACUGGAGAUUGCUGUUCGUUUGAAGUGCAAUGUGCAGACUUGGUGCUGGAGGCGGAGCUGGGAAGCAGGUGUCUGAACGUGAGAUUGAAGCAUUUUCUGGAAAUUCACUUCCUCAAACGCUCGGACUGGCUGUGGGCAGUGGACAGUUAAGGAGACCCAGUGAGGCCCCCAGAUCCCCAGCCAUCGGGCAGGGCCUGAGCCCAUGGUGGAGCCAGGAGAGGAUGGGGGGAAGAUCCCCAGGGUGAGCAGCUCUGGGGGCAGCACGGGGAGGGGGUGGUCCCGGAGCCGGCCCAGCACGGGGAGGGGGUGGUCCCUGCACGGGAGCCUCCGUGGGCUGCUGACCGGGUGGGAUGUCCUUGUGGGAGCCGGUCCAGAGGGAGGAGGUGCGGGGCUGGGAGGCACAGGGAGCCCUGCAGCCUGGCGUUGGCACCACGUCCUUCCCCCACUGUGACAAGUUCACACUUUUCCUCUGCAGCCUCUGUGACUCACCUCAGUUCCCCAGGACACUGUGGCGCCAUGGAGGUCUGUCCCCUCCCUCCUCCUCACAGCAGAGACCCGGGGGCAUGAGGCAGCGUCUGCUCCAGAGUGGGCCCGAUGGGCCUCUGGGCCGGGUGAAACCAUGUGCACAGAAAGCUUGCAGCAGACGAGAAACAUAGAAAAUGUCUUUUAUUCUCCGCUGCUUUUCACACUCGAUGUCAGCUUUCAGCUGGCGGGAUCUGGAGUGAGCGUGUGUGAUGUUUCCCAGCGUGAGGGGAGCAGGUGCUGCGGUGAGCUCCCCAGGGCUGGGGUCGGAAUCCAAAGGCGCAGGG
rnacentral:lncRNA from 1 species